rnacentral:ncRNA from 1 species
UAAAAAGCAAUGAUGAAGAGGAGUAGACAGUUAAAACUUACAGAGAGGAAGAUCCACCGGUUGAGAGGUCUUCUAAGUAAAUUGCUGUUGAAGGUAGCUUCUGAGCUUUCCGUCUGAAAUGGAGUAGGAUGGAACGGAAUUCCGUUAUUCUAAUAAGAGCCAGGAUAUCUGGAAUAAAGGUGGUACCGCGGUCCCUCGCCCUUUGG